AGCAACAGUAUCAACUGCAGUACCACCAGCAACAAUAUCUGCAGGACCAUCAGCAUCAUAUCAAGAUUUCCUGCAAUAUCGUUUUCAGCACCCAGGUCCAAUAUCUUCAAGAGCUUUUUACCGGUGGAGUCAAUAUGGGGGAGAUGAUCCCUCCUUUAGAUGGAGGAGAGAAGCCCCAUAUGACACCACUGGUAGAAGGAGGGGUGCUGGAAAGUGAUUUAACUCUUUUAAU
rnacentral:lncRNA from 1 species